rnacentral:rRNA from 1 species
GACGAACGCUGGCGGCGUGCUUAACACAUGCAAGUCGAACGGAAAGGCCCUGCUUUUGUGGGGUGCUCGAGUGGCGAACGGGUGAGUAACACGUGAGUAACCUGCCCCUGACUUUGGGAUAACUUCAGGAAACUGGGGCUAAUACCGGAUAGGAGCUCCUGCUGCAUGGUGGGGGUUGGAAAGUUUCGGCGGUUGGGGAUGGACUCGCGGCUUAUCAGCUUGUUGGUGGGGUAGUGGCUUACCAAGGCUUUGACGGGUAGCCGGCCUGAGAGGGUGACCGGCCACAUUGGGACUGAGAUACGGCCCAGACUCCUACGGGAGGCAGCGGUGGGGAAUAUUGCACAAUAGGCGGAAGCCUGAUGCAGCAACGCCGCGUGCGGGAUGACGGCCUUCGGGUUGUAAACCACUUUCGCCUGUGACGAAGCGUGAGUGACGGUAAUGGGUAAAGAAGCACCGGCUGACUACGUG